rnacentral:rRNA from 1 species
AUUGAACGCUGGCGGCAGGCCUAACACAUGCAAGUCGAACGAGUGGCGGACGGGUGAGUAAUGUCCGGGAAACUGCCUGAUGGCGGGGGAUAACUACUGGAAACGGUAGCUAAUACCGCAUACCAUCGGCUAUGCCCAGAUGGGAUUAGCUAGUAGGUGGCGUAAAGGCUCACCUCGGCGACCAUCCCUAGAUGGUCUGAGAGGAUGACCAGCCACACGGGGACUGCGCCACGGUCCAGACGCCUUCGGGAGGCAGCAGUGGGGAAUAUUGCACAGUGGGCGCAAGCCUGAUGCAGCCAUGCCGCGUGUAUGAAGAAGGCCUUCGGGUUGUAAAUUACUUUCAGCGGGGAGGCGUUACCCGCAGAAGAAGCACCGGCUAACUCCGUGCCAGCAGCCGCGGUAAUUC